GGGUUGGAAACUCUGACACCUUGUGUGAAACACCCAUUUCACACACCUAAAACACCUUUCGACACCUUUUCGACACCUUUCAUAUGCACCACCAUGAUCAUUUUUUAUUUUACUGGCAUCAUUGUUUUGCCGAUGUUUAUAUUUACAUUUUCAGGCAAUGUUUAUCGUCACCAUCGUCACAGCGCGGAGCAGAACCAGCAACAUCGGACAACCAGGUACGUUUUCUCCGGAGCUUCAAACCGCCGCGUUUAACGGAGUCGAUGCAGCUGAUGGACGAAAUCCUGUCCAACAUCACAUAGACCGGAUGAUGAAAAGCGGCAAGUUAAAGGCGGACAAAAUGACCAGAAGGCGAAUGAAGAACAGUAAAGCUCUCCGCAUUAGAACCAUCACGACGGAGUGAUUCCAACGAACCGUCGUCAUCAGUCGCAACCCGGUGCUACCGCUACUUCCUCGCCAGCAGCACAAAGUCGAAAUGAAGGAGGUCGAUUACCCUUCAGCACCGUCGACAUCGUCAUAAGCAAGGUCAUAAGUAAGAUCUUCGAUGUGGAAGUAGUACGGAGAAAAUCGUGAAUAAUAAUCGAUUUGAAUAAGGAUGGCCUUCAUUUUUUUGGACGAGAUUUGAACUGGGCCUGAAAGCCGAAAGGGGCUGGUUUGCUUCAUUUAGCCAGUGGUAAUCAAAACGGCGCUUACACUGGAUCAAAAUUAUUCAACUCUUCCGUGGCGAUUCGACUUUGAGACCAUCGCCAUCAAAAGGACUGAAAAGUACGACGGAAGUCCAAUCUCGGCCUUCGGUGGUGAAAACCGGAAACAACCGGAAGCGCUAGUUCAAUUCGAGGACUUCGAUGCGGCUAAAAGUAGAGAGACUACCGCCGGCUGUCAUCUUCGAGAAUCUGCUGUUUCUGUGAGGUUUGCAAGUUGCAAUUUACAAUUUCCGAAGGGAAAGCAUCACGAGAACUUCGGAAUCACAUGUCCCAGGAGAUAAAACCAUUAAACGAGCGAUGCAACGAGGAAAUAGUAAAAAUUGGCCAACCACUCGCAACUGCAAUCACCUCAACUAAUGAACGCAACUGUCCCUGGUCAGUUACUACCGAGUUCAAAUGGCACUCGAUCGGAAUACGGAUUCUUAUUUAGUAUCGAUCGAUAUGCUCGAUACCUCCCUAAGAGAAGCGGGAUGAAACCAACGGAAGCACCGGAAUGGAUGAGCACGGUCCCUGAGUCAGAACCCGAGAACGCUUUUAAACCAAAUCUUCCAAGAAACACCAAAUCAAUCCAGGUCUACUACGGAUUUCCUCCGAAAAGGGUCCGAAACCAACAUAGAAGCCGUCCCACACAGGAGGAGCGAUUUAUGUAAAAAGAAAUUGCUCGAGAAAUCGCAGACGCCGGGAGAUGAAAUGCGCCGAGCAGAACCGGAAGAAUAAAUAUUGAGGAAAUCUAUGGUUAGGACACUUUUCCGCGCAGGAAUAUGUAUCAAUUUUGAUUUUUUUUACAUUAAAUUAUUAGUACAU